rnacentral:rRNA from 1 species
GACGAAUGCUGGCGGCGUGCUUAACACAUGCAAGUCGAACGAUGAAGAAGAGAAACGCGAACUUCGGUUCAAAUUUCACUUCGGAUUAGUGGCAGACGGGUGAGUAACGCGUGAGCAACCUACCUCUUACAAAGGGAUAGCCUCGGGAAACCGUGAUUAAUACCAUAUGACACAUUCAUAAGGCAUCUUAAGAAUGUUAAAGCUACGGCGGUAAGAGAUGGGCUCGCGUCCCAUUAGCUAGUUGGUGAGGUAACGGCCCACCAAGGCGACGAUGGGUAACCGGCCUGAGAGGGUGAACGGUCACAUUGGAACUGAGACACGGUCCAAACUCCUACGGGAAGCAGCAGUGGGGAAUAUUGCACAAUGGAGGGAACUCUGAUGCAGCGACGCCGCGUGAGCGAUGAAGGAAUUCGUUUCGUAAAGCUCUGUUCUAUGGGAAGAAAAGGACUGUACCAUAGGAGAAAGCCUCGGCUAAAUACGUG